UACGUAGGUGACAAGCGUUGUCCGGAUUUACUGGGCGUAAAGAGCGCGCAGGCGGUCGUUCAAGUCGAGUGUGAAAGCCCCCAGCUUAACUGGGGAAGUGCCUCGGAUACUGGCGGCCUCGAGGGGGAUAGGGGCCCGCGGAACUUCGGGUGGAGCGGUGAAAUGCGUUGAUAUCCGAAGGAACGCCGGUGGCGAAAGCGGCGGGCUGGAUCCCUUCUGACGCUGAGGCGCGAAAGCCAGGGGAGCAAACGGG
rnacentral:rRNA from 1 species